CCUACGGGUGGCAGCAGUGGGGAAUAUUGCGCAAUGGGCGAAAGCCUGACGCAGCGACGCCGCGUGAGGGAUGAAGGUCUUCGGAUCGUAAACCUCUGUCAGCAGGGAAGAACGGUCACUGUGCUAAUCAGCAGUGAAUUGACGGUACCUGCAAAGGAAGCACCGGCUAACUCCGUGCCAGCAGCCGCGGUAAUACGGAGGGUGCGAGCGUUAAUCGGAAUUACUGGGCGUAAAGCGCUCGUAGGCGGUAUGUCAAGUCAAGGGUGAAAUCCCCGCGCUCAACGUGGGAACUGCCUUUGAAACUGGCAAACUGGAGUGUGUGAGAGGAGAGUGGAAUUCCAGGUGUAGGAGUGAAAUGCGUAGAGAUGUGGAGGAACAUCAGUGGCGAAGGCGACUAUCUGGCACAUAACUGACGCUGAGGAGCGAAAGCGUGGGUAGCAAACAGGAUUAGAUACCCGGGUAGUC
rnacentral:rRNA from 1 species